rnacentral:rRNA from 1 species
GCUUACGGCCAUGCCACCCUGAACGCGCCCGACCUCGUCUGAUCUCGGAAGCUAAGCAGGGUCGGGCCUGGUUAGUACUUGGAUGGGAGACCGCCCGGGAAUACCGGGUGCUGUAGGUU